rnacentral:rRNA from 1 species
AUAGUUUGAUCCUGGCUCAGAACGAACGCUGGCGGCAGGCUUAACACAUGCAAGUCGAGCGGGCCCUUCGGGGUCAGCGGCAGACGGGUGAGUAACGCGUGGGAAUCUACCCAUCCCUACGGAACAACUCCGGGAAACUGGAGCUAAUACCGUAUACGCCCUUCGGGGGAAAGAUUUAUCGGGGAUGGAUGAGCCCGCGUUGGAUUAGCUAGUUGGUGGGGUAAAGGCCUACCAAGGCGACGAUCCAUAGCUGGUCUGAGAGGAUGAUCAGCCACAUUGGGACUGAGACACGGCCCAAACUCCUACGGGAGGCAGCAGUGGGGAAUAUUGGACAAUGGGCGCAAGCCUGAUCCAGCCAUGCCGCGUGAGUGAUGAAAGCCCUANGGUUGUAAAGCUCUUUCAACGGUGAAGAUAAUGACNGUAGCCGUAAAANAAGCCCCGGCUAACUUCGUGCUANCCGCCGCGGUAAUUC